GACGAACGCUGGCGGCGUGCUUAACACAUGCAAGUCGAACGGCAAGGCUUCUUUCGGGGGGUACUCGAGUGGGGAACGGGUGAGUAAUACGCGAGUAACAUACCCUUGACUUUGGGAUAAACUCCGGAAACUGGCGCUAAUACCGGAUACAUGCUCCUGCUGCAUGGUGGGGGUUGGAACGAUUCGGCGGUUGGGGAUGGACUCGCGGCUUAUCAGCUUGUCGGUGGGGUAGUGGCCUACCAAGGCUGUGCCGGGUAGUCGACCUGGGAGGGUGACCGGCCACAUUGGGACUGAGAGACGGCCCAGACUCCGACGGGAGGCAGCAGUGGGGAGUAUUUCACAAUGGGUGGAAGCCUGAUGCGGCGGCGCCGUGUGUGGGAUGACGGCCUUCGGGUUGUAAACCGUGGUCGCUCAUGACGAAGCUUUGUGUGACGGUAGUGGGUAAAGAAGCACGGGCUAACUACGUG
rnacentral:rRNA from 1 species